rnacentral:rRNA from 1 species
GAUGAACGCUGGCGGCGUGCCUAAUACAUGCAAGUCGAGCGAACGGACGAGAAGCUUGCUUCUCUGAUGUUAGCGGCGGACGGGUGAGUAACACGUGGAUAACCUACCUAUAAGACUGGGAUAACUUCGAGAAACCGGAGCUAAUACCGGAUAAUAUUUUGAACCGCAUGGUUCAAAAGUGAAAGACGGUCUUGCUGUCACUUAUAGAUGGAUCCGCGCUGCAUUAGCUAGUUGGUAAGGUAACGGCUUACCAAGGCAACGAUGCAUAGCCGACCUGAGAGGGUGAUCGGCCACACUGGAACUGAGACACGGUCCAGACUCCUACGGGAGGCAGCAGUAGGGAAUCUUCCGCAAUGGGCGAAAGCCUGACGGAGCAACGCCGCGUGAGUGAUGAAGGUCUUCGGAUCGUAAAACUCUGUUAUUAGGGAAGAACAUAUGUGUAAGUAACUGUGCACAUCUUGACGGUACCUAAUCAGAAAGCCACGGCUAACUACGUGCCAGCAGCCGCGGUAAUACGUAGGUGGCAAGCGUUAUCCGGAAUUAUUGGGCGUAAAGCGCGCGUAGGCGGUUUUUUAAGUCUGAUGUGAAAGCCCACGGCUCAACCGUGGAGGGUCAUUGGAAACUGGAAAACUUGAGUGCAGAAGAGGAAAGUGGAAUUCCAUGUGUAGCGGUGAAAUGCGCAGAGAUAUGGAGGAACACCAGUGGCGAAGGCGACUUUCUGGUCUGUAACUGACGCUGAUGUGCGAAAGCGUGGGGAUCAAACAGGAUUAGAUACCCUGGUAGUCCACGCCGUAAACGAUGAGUGCUAAGUGUUAGGGGGUUUCCGCCCCUUAGUGCUGCAGCUAACGCAUUAAGCACUCCGCCUGGGGAGUACGACCGCAAGGUUGAAACUCAAAGGAAUUGACGGGGACCCGCACAAGCGGUGGAGCAUGUGGUUUAAUUCGAAGCAACGCGAAGAACCUUACCAAAUCUUGACAUCCUUUGACAACUCUAGAGAUAGAGCCUUCCCCUUCGGGGGACAAAGUGACAGGUGGUGCAUGGUUGUCGUCAGCUCGUGUCGUGAGAUGUUGGGUUAAGUCCCGCAACGAGCGCAACCCUUAAGCUUAGUUGCCAUCAUUAAGUUGGGCACUCUAAGUUGACUGCCGGUGACAAACCGGAGGAAGGUGGGGAUGACGUCAAAUCAUCAUGCCCCUUAUGAUUUGGGCUACACACGUGCUACAAUGGACAAUACAAAGGGCAGCGAAACCGCGAGGUCAAGCAAAUCCCAUAAAGUUGUUCUCAGUUCGGAUUGUAGUCUGCAACUCGACUACAUGAAGCUGGAAUCGCUAGUAAUCGUAGAUCAGCAUGCUACGGUGAAUACGUUCCCGGGUCU